UACGUAGGUGACAAGCGUUGUCCGGAUUUACUGGGCGUAAAGAGCGCGCAGGCGGUCGUUCAAGUCGAGUGUGAAAGCCCCCGGCUCAACUGGGGGGGGUCAUUCGAUACUGAUCGACUCGAAGGCAGGAGAAGGAAGUGGAAUUCCCGGUGUAGUGGUGAAAUGCGUAGAUAUCGGGAGGAACACCAGUGGCGAAGGCGACUUCCUGGCCUGUUCUUGACGCUGAGGCGCGAAAGCUAGGGGAGCAAACAGG
rnacentral:rRNA from 1 species